AGCAUCUCAAAACCAGCGGAGACAGUACAACCUUAGACGACGAGUUUGGAAACCAAAGAUUGGGGAGCAAGUUCUAGUUCGUCUACAUCCUCAGUCGAAGGCCGUCGAAAAUUUCGCCGCCAAACUAGCGCCCAAAUACGGAGGGCCGUUUGUCGUACAAAAAUUCCAAUCUCCAGUAAUCGUUGUAGUCCGAGGAAAAGACAACAUCACCCGCGUCGCGCACUUAAGUGAAAUUAAGCCUUUUUAUGAAGAACAAAAUUAAAUUGUAGACAUAGAAGUAGAAUGUUGAUUGUAGUUCCACUUACGUUUAUGUGAUGCCAUUUCAUUAUAAUUUCUUAUUUUAUUUUUAGACAUUAAAUUGACAAUACCCAAACUAAUCAGUGUCCUAAUAUAAGCCCAUACUUCAAAGACCAUCGCAAUUCUCAAAAUUUCAACAUCACGAUGGAGCAAGAUAGCCCCAACACGAAAAAAUUCAAACGGGCGAAGGAGAAAUUUCGAGCUCAUCUGGAACAAGUCGAGGCUCAAAGGCGAAGGACAAUAUUUUUAGACGAAGGUCCUAGUACCAGCCGAAAGAGGAGAACAAAUCAAUACCGUAAGCCCAAUCCAAGAAAGGGUAGCAGUCAAUCCUCAUCGCCCCAGCACCAAAUAUUUUACCGAAUGUGCAGCACAACCCCGAAUGACGUUCCACAGCAAAAGUGUAACACGACCGAAAACAACAGCGACGAUAUCGAUGAAACUGACUCUUUGAACGAGGAAACCCAGCCUAGUAGUGACGUCCCGCGUACACCAACCUACGCCCCGUGUUUUGGUUCGCCAAAUAGCUUUAAGCCGGCUUCCGAUGUGCUCUCAACACCCACUUCAAGGUGCUCAGAAAUGCCUGUUACACCGGGUAAAGAAUGGUGUCGUGACUCAGAUGACGCAUCAACUCUUCCUCGGCCCAAUAUGGAGGAGUCGGGUGAAUCUCAAUCAAAUUUCGAAAUGGAUGAAGAAUGUCGGCGUAUGUUUUACGGUUACUUAGAAACCGCAGUGACUCGGCGAGCACAGUCACCCUUAUCCUCGAAUAAUUCCUCGCUGGAUGAGUCGGAUAACGAAGAUCAACGUUCCUCGUCUCCGCCAAAAAGGUAUGGUCUGGGAUUUGUCCGUCAGAAAGAUAGCCAAUACAAAUAUCUCGGAUUUCGCUGUUAUGAGAGAACAGUUACUGUGCAGCUUUUGGUCCCCGACUCCGGGGAAAAUCCAAUAUAUGAAAUAACCAACCCACCGCCGGAUAAUCAUCGUACGCCCUCACCCACACCCGCGAUAGGGGAAGAGAUCAACACCGAAGAUAUCCAUUCAAUAUCCAACACCUCACACAAACAUGAGGAGGUUCCUACUUCAUCCUCACAUGCUUUCGCACAUUUAGAAGAAGACUCCAGAUCGACCGCAAGUAGUUUUGUGACAGUUUCCGAAGAUCCUAGUUCUGAGUGGUGGACCCAAUGGCAGACGCUGGUUGGUGUUCCUCCAUCAUCACCGCUAUAUAACAUAACCGAACAAGCAAAUCUGUUGCAUAGUGAUGACGUACAAAUUCCAUCGCAAUCCAAUGCUGCCGUCAUAUCGGACGAUCACAGGUCCCCCAACGUGAAGGAAGAUAAAUCAUUACCAGGAACGCCGGGACACGUUGUCGAACUGUCAUCACCAUCGAUGUCUUCCCGAUCGUCAUCCUCAUCCUCAUCAGCCUCGUCGUCUUUAUCGUCAUCCUCAUCCUCAUCAGCCUCGUCGUCUUCAUCAUCAUCCACAAGCCAAACGAUGACACCUCAUCAGCCAACAUUGUGUAGCAGUCAACCUUCCAUCGAUGAAGUGUUUAUACCCAGUAAGGAGAAUAAUAGCACACCAAGUACAAUCAAAUUGCCAGUCACUGAAAUCCCAACUGAGUCAACGCCAUCGUCCUCGACAGACAAUCCCGUGAACGAUAACACAUUUCUCGAACUGCCAAAUUAUCCCGAAAACCUACAAAUCCGUAUCGAGAAGUUUAAAAACAAUUGGAAAAAGGGACACAAACUGAAGCGAAUUGUUAAACAAGAUGGCAAGCAGUACCGCAUAAUAAUAUCAGCAGACGGGGUAGUGAAGGUAUCUCUCCGAACUUCUGCAAUUGGUCUCUAACAUACCUUCCUAUUCGACCGAGAUAUAGUCGAACCAAAGUGCCCAUGUCGGAGAAAUAAAAGGUUACAUAACACCCUAGGGCUUCCUGGCUAUUGAAACCCAAUAGCAAUAGAGAAAGCAAAUCAAGGAAUCAAAAAUCAGAGGGAGGAAGAGAUGCCAUGUAACGCCCAAAAGUCAUGCUUUCGUUUUUGGGGUACAUUAUUAUUUUAAAUACCAUUUUUACUUACGUCCCCUAGUAGAAAGAAGUAUACUUAAAAUACAACAUUGGAACCCCUGGUGGCAAAUGGCGGAACUACGCAAAACUGUCAGAUUGGGAUCAGCUGCUGUCAUGAGAAAACAACAAUCGUUGUCCAGCCAAAAAGGUAUAAAAGGAGACGCAUUUCACACAAUCGAGAUCAGUCUUCUGUUGAUGGCUGGUAAGUCAAGUGUGAUUGGGAGGAAGAAAAGGCGCGCAACCUCGGUUGAAUUGAGUCUUAGUAAGCCAAACAAUAAGCCUUGACUAUUUGUGGUGACUGGACUGGACUGAACGCAGGGUCAAGUGAGGGUUGUAGCAAUACUCCCUAUUCUUCGGGCUGCGUUGACGGCGACUGAACGCAGGGUCAAGUGAGGGUUGUAGCAAUACUCCCUAUUCUUCGGGCUGCGUUGACGGCGACUGAACGCAGGGUCAAGUGAGGGUUGUAGCAAUACUCCCUAUUCUUCGGGCUGCGUUGACGGCGACUGAACGCAGGGUCGAGUGAGGGUUGUAGCAAUACUCCCUAUUCUUCGGGCUGCGUUGACGGCGACUGAACGCAGGGUCAAGUGAGGGUUGUAGCAAUACUCCCUAUUCUUCGGGCUGCGUUGACGGCGACUGAACGCAGGGUCAAGUGAGGGUUGUAGCAAUACUCCCUAUUCUUCGGGCUGCGUUGACGGCGACUGAACGCAGGGUCAAGUGAGGGUUGUAGCAAUACUCCCUAUUCUUCGGGCUGCGUUGACGGCGACUGAACGCAGGGUCGAGUGAGGGCUGUAGCAAUACUCCCUAUUCUUCGGGCUGCGUUGACGGCGACUGACGUACUCAUCGGGCUGCUGCUGUGCCAAAGCUGCCGCCACCCGAUUCGUCGUGCGCGUAUUCAUCGGGCCGCCGCUGUGCCAAGCUGCCGCCACUACUACUCGCCGCUGACGUAUUCAUCGGGCCGCCGCUGUGCCAAAGCCGCCGCCACCCUAUUCGCCGCUCGCCUAUUCAUCGGGCCGCCGCUGUGCCAAAGCCGCCGCCACCCUAUUCGUCGCUCGCCUAUUCAUCGGGCCGCCGCUGUGCCAAGCUGCCGCCACUACUAUUCGUCGCUCGCCUAUUCAUCGGGCCGCCGCUGUGCCAAGCUGCCGCCACUCUAUUCGUCGCUCGCCUAUUCAUCGGGCCGCCGCUGUGCCAAGCUGCCACCACUGCUACCCGUUUAUUAACAUUUCGACUGAACUUUGUGAUUUAGUGUUCUUCGUAAAACGUUCUGAACGUGAUUUUAUUGUGUUUAGUGUAGUGUUAGUGUUAUUUAAGGAAAUAAAUUUAUAACGUUUUAAGAAAAUAUUUUUGCUUCGCUCUCUCUCUCUUUAUGUCCUAACAAAUAAAUUUUUGUGACGACUCUGGCCCCCGCUGAACCUACCCCAGCUUCAAAGUGAAAACACGUC